rnacentral:rRNA from 9 species
GACUCCCGGCAACGGAUAUCUUGGCUCUCACAUCGAUGAAGAACGUAGCGAAAUGCGAUACCUGGUGUGAAUUGCAGAAUCCCGCGAACCAUCGAGUCUUUGAACGCAAGUUGCGCCCGAGGCCACUCGGCCGAGGGCACGCCUGCCUGGGCGUCA